UACGUAGGGUGCGAGCGUUGUCCGGAAUUACUGGGCGUAAAGAACUCGUAGGUGGUUUGUCGCGUUUGUCCGUGAAAACUCACAACUCAAUUGUGGGCGUGCGGGCGAUACGGGCAGACUGGAGUACUGCAGGGGAGACUGGAAUUCCUGGUGUAGCGGUGGAAUGCGCAGAUAUCAGGAGGAACACCGGUGGCGAAGGCGGGUCUCUGGGCAGUAACUGACGCUGAGGAGCGAAAGCGUGGGGAGCGAACAGG
rnacentral:rRNA from 1 species